CCAGACUCCUACGGGAGGCAGCAGUGAGGAAUAUUGGUCAAUGGCCGAGAGGCUGAACCAGCCAAGUCGCGUGAGGGAUGACGGCCCUACGGGUUGUAAACCUCUUUUGUCGGGGAGCAAAAGACGCCACGCGUGGCGUUCCGAGAGUACCCGAAGAAAAAGCAUCGGCUAACUCCGUGCCAGCAGCCGCGGUAAUACGGAGGAUGCGAGCGUUAUCCGGAUUUAUUGGGUUUAAAGGGUGCGCAGGCGGAGGUGCAAGUCAGCGGUCAAAUCGUGGGGCUCAACCCCAUCCAGCCGUUGAAACUGGGGAUCUAGAGUGUGCGAGAGGUAUGCGGAAUGCGUGGUGUAGCGGUGAAAUGCAUAGAUAUCACGCAGAACCCCGAUUGCGAAGGCAGCAUACCGGUGCACAACUGACGCUCAGGCACGAAAGCGUGGGUAUCGAACAGGAUUAGAUACCCUUGUAAU
rnacentral:rRNA from 1 species